rnacentral:pre_miRNA from 1 species
ACAACAUUCGGACCGUCGGUCUACCGAGCAAUAUCAUCCGCUCGGUGGAAGAUCUUCCUUUCAUCGU